rnacentral:rRNA from 1 species
AUUGAACGCUAGCGGCAUGCUUUACACAUGCAAGUCGAACGAGUGGCGGACGGGUGAGUAAUGUAUCGGAACCUGCCCGGUGGCGGGGGAUAACUACUCGAAAGGGUAGCUAAUACCGCAUACUAUUGGAUGUGCCCAUAUGGGAUUAGCUAGUUGGUGGGGUAACGGCUCACCAAGGCGACGAUCCCUAGCUGGUCUGAGAGGACGACCAGCCACACUGGGACUGAGACACGGCCCAGACUCCUACGGGAGGCAGCAGUGGGGAAUUUUGCACAAUGGGCGAAAGCCUGAUGCAGCCAUCCCGCGUGUAUGAAGAAGGCCUUCGGGUUGUAAAGUACUUUCGGCGGGGAAGCGUUACCUGCAGAAGAAGCACCGGCUAACUACGUGCCAGCAGCCGCGGUAAUAC